rnacentral:lncRNA from 1 species
GGGAAAGAGGCCCUGGGAGCCAGGAAUGCAGGGCAGAUCAGAGCGAGCCAAACCAGGAAUGGAAGUUCUCACAGUCACUACUGAGCCCAGGGACAGACCAAGGUAAUCUACGGCUUUUCUGUGGCUAUUCCCUUGCUUAGAUGGCUCUUUUCUCCAGUCUUCGCCUGAAAAGAAAAAGCACUACCCGUGACUUAAGAUCCAGCUAAGCUGUCACCUCUUCCCUGAAACACCCCCUCAUCCCCUCGGAUCAUUCACACAGGUCAGCAUGGUGCAUCACUUUGUUCCUCUUCUCAGAAGCGCUGCCAACCCAGGGUCGUCCCAAGCCCAGUUUAUAUCGUCAAGGUCCUCAGCGUCUUAGAACAGUGUCUUAUUAAAAUACUCUGUGUCUGGAAGACACCCCAUGUCCUCUUUGUGCUUGGAGUGCUAGUUGUCACUAUGCUUAACCAAAAGAAAACUAGAAGGGUGUGGGAACAGGGGCACUGUUGUUGUCUUAGGGUUUCUAUUGCUGUGACAAAACACCACGACCAAAAAGCGAGUUGGGAAGAAAAGGGUUAUUUGGCUGAACGCUUCCAUAUUGUACUCCAUCACUGAAGGCAGUCAGGACAGAAACUCAAGCAAGAUAGCAACCUGAAGGCAGGAGCUGAUGCAGAGGCCAAGGAGGGUGCUGCUUCUUGGCUUGCUAAGUUUGCUUUCUUAUGGAACCCAGGGCUACCAGCAGGGAUGCCACCAUUCACCAUGGGCUGGGCUCUCCUCCAUCAAUCACUAAUCAAGAGAAGGUCCUACAUGCUUGCCUGCAGCUAGAUCGUAUGGGGGCAUUCUCUAAAUCGAG